AGAGUUUGAUCCUGGCUCAGAACGAACGCUGGCGGCAGGCUUAACACAUGCAAGUCGAACGGCUGUAGCAAUACAGCAGUGGCAGACGGGUGAGUAACACGUGGGAACCUUCCUAGGGGUACGGAACAACUCAGGGAAACUUGAGCUAAUACCGUAUACGUCCGUGAGGAGAAAGAUUUAUCGCCCUUAGACGGGCCCGCGUCGGAUUAGGUAGUUGGUGGGGUAACGGCCUACCAAGCCUACGAUCCGUAGCUGAUCUGAGAGGAUGAUCAGCCACACUGGGACUGAGACACGGCCCAGACUCCUACGGGAGGCAGCAGUGGGGAAUCUUGGACAAUGGGCGCAAGCCUGAUCCAGCCAUGCCGCGUGAGUGAAGAAGGCCUUAGGGUUGUAAAGCUCUUUUACCAGGGACGAUAAUGACGGUACCUGAGAAUAGCCCUGGUAUCGCCU
rnacentral:rRNA from 1 species